AUUGAACGCUGGCGGCAGGCCUAACACAUGCAAGUCGAACGGCAGCACAGAAGAGCUUGCUCUUUGGGUGGCGAGUGGCGGACGGGUGAGUAAUGUCUGGGAAACUGCCCGAUGGAGGGGGAUAACUACUGGAAACGGUAGCUAAUACCGCAUAACGUCGCAAGACCAAAGUGGGGGACCUUCGGGCCUCACACCAUCGGAUGUGCCCAGAUGGGAUUAGCUAGUAGAUGGGGUAAUGGCUCACCUAGGCGACGAUCCCUAGCUGGUCUGAGAGGAUGACCAGCCACACUGGAACUGAGACACGGUCCAGACUCCUACGGGAGGCAGCAGUGGGGAAUAUUGCACAAUGGGCGCAAGCCUGAUGCAGCCAUGCCGCGUGUAUGAAGAAGGCCUUCGGGUUGUAAAGUACUUUCAGCGGGGAGGAAGGCGGUGAGGUUAAUAACCUCGCCGAUUGACGUUACCCGCAGAAGAAGCACCGGCUAACUCCGUGCCAGCAGCCGCAGUAA
rnacentral:rRNA from 1 species